UCGUUCGUUUGGAAAUAGAUUUUGUUCAGUUCCCUUCACUCAAUUGUGGCUUAUAUUAAUGUUUGAAUUCUCAUUUGCUCUUGUCUAUAAAUUAUUACCAUUCCUGAACAUAUUGUGUAACGUUUAUGCUAUAUCAUAUUGACUUAUAUAGGCACAUGUAUAACCCAUUGUUCCGCAUUUGCUUUUGAUGUGUGCCUAUUCUAGUUUCAUUCCUUUGGAUAUCGAAUUCAUCUAACC
rnacentral:lncRNA from 1 species